rnacentral:rRNA from 1 species
AGCUUUAAGAACAUAUUUUAAGUUACUUCUGCCCAGCGUUUAUAUUAGCGGCCGCAGUACCUUGACUGUGCUAAGGUAGCAUAAUCAAUUGGCUUUUAAUUGAAGUCUGGAAUGAAAGGUUUUAUAAAGAAUUAACUGUCUCUUUAAAAUUUUAAUGAAUUUAUUUAAAAAGUGAAAAUACUUUUUUAUAGAAAAAAGACGAGAAGACCCUUAGAAUUUUAAUUAAUUAAUUUAUUUAAAUUAAAUAUUUUUGUUGGGGCGACAAUGAAACAAUCAACUUUCAAUUAAAAACAAAUCAUUUUUUUUAAAAGAUUAAAUUACCUUAGGGAUAACAGCAUAAUGAAUAAUUUAGUUUGUGACCUCGANGUUGGACUAGGAACUAAAAGACUAACAGUCAUAAUAGAAUGUUCUGUUCGAACAAAAUUUCC